GCGUCACCGUGACGUCACAGUCUGACGCGGGGCCGGUUAACGGCAGACAGAAUACGUCGUUUUUUUAAACGUCUAUUUCAUAGAUAAUUGGCGGUGAGCGUAAGCUAGCAGCUCGGGCGAUGCCCAUCCUUGGCUCUGUGCCCAACGCCAGCAGACCUCUCGGGAACAACAGAAUCGUUUCUCCGGACCCAGAGACUCCCGGAACCGCAACUCCAACCAGUUGCAAACGUCUUAAUGACGGCAGAGGGCUACAUUGAUGAGGCCAGUGAGGUGAAAUGAACAUGCACUCACCCCUGUGGAGUGGAGCUUGUGUGGAUUCGCAUUCCGGCUGCUCCUACAGUCGUCUCCCUGGGUGUCUUGACUCAAGGUUCUCUGGAGGUGGGAAAGAAAGCCACAGUCUGUGCCUCACGGACAAGAAAAUGCCUAAAAUGAUUAGAAGCAUUUCAUCCAUCGUUUCACCCCCUUUCAAAUUAGACCAAUGUCUCUUCUGUACUUGUUAUGCACCAUCGUUUUCUGCCAAUUAGCAAGGAGCGUCUCCGCGCUGGAAGGGUCUGGUGUGGGGAAGGCAGGAAGGAGAAGCAACCGUGGUGGUCAGCUACCAGACAGCUCACAUCAGCCUACCCCAUUAGGGACAUCCGCACACAGCGCUGUGCAUCAGGAUGCUCUCAUUUACCGCCUGCACAUCCAGCCAUUUAUCUCUCUCUCUCCACUGAUCUUGCUCUCACGCUCUCUCUCUCUUUUUAAUUUUCCUCUCAAAAACAGAUCCCACAUUAAGCAGCCAAGCAUGGCGGCUGCAGUGCCUCUCCUGAAAGAGCAAAGGAAUGAUUUAAUUUCUUCUCCUCUUGGUCUCUGUAGCCUCCUUUCCCUGCUCAUACACAGAUCAUUAGACACACAGGCUUCAUUUCCAUCUCCCUGUGAGGCCACAUGCAGGGCUUAAGCUAGUCAGCCACGCCAUGGCCAUUCCUGACGAUCAAUACCUGUGGUCAGGACGGUGCACGCAGUGCUUCCUAAACAGGCCCUGCAGGUCCAACCAUAAAACACCUAAGAGGACAUACACGCCACCCCAUAAAUCACACUUUUUUGGGGGGGGCCUUCAAUCCUAUGCUGGAGUGAGGGGAGCCGGGAAAACGGUUCAUAGCAAGACUUCACUCUUAAUGACGAGAUGUGAAUUUUGUGUUUUUCUUUCAUAUAACUAUACUAUACAGAGGAAUAUGUGUCUACAAUUUUUAUUCAUUGGACCACAUUAAAUGCAUACAUUUUUAUCAAGCUAGUAAAUGGCAAGAACUGAGCGAAUGCUGUGAUGACAUCAGGGCCUGCAGAGAUGGUUUAAUUUAAACUGAGCAGUAUUAAUGAGAUUUUACUUGGUUGGAACCUGAAUGAUACGUAGAUAAGCUCAAAGGAAUAGUCAGUUUGAGUUUUUCCAUAUGGAGAGUUUACUGUUUUAGCUUGUAGAUUACGGGAAUGGAAUAGGUGAUGUACGGGCCAGAUCGGAGUGAGCCUUGGGGCUGCUAGACAGACAGAAAAAUGGAUGUUUUUCUCAUCUUGCUUUUGCCUCCAGAGCUCCGCUGGGCUGAUCCCCACAUUAACAAAACAGAUAGCCAACAACUCUAAUUACCUUUGCAUCCAUUCGCUCUCCCCAUCUACCACUCCCUACUUUGCCUGUGCAAAUGAUAGAAAGAGAGAAAUAGAAGGAAGAGAAGCAUAAUUACUUAUUUUACUGGAGUGCGGCAGAAUGCCUUUUGCCAAAUGACUCUAAUUCCAAAUGGUUAACAAGAUUUUUCUUUUUAAUAGAGAGAAUCCACGUGACAGCAAAUUGCUUUUCUAUUUGGGGCCUUAAUGGCUUUUCAUACUUCGCACUUCCAAUAAGCAGUAAACUCGGAAAUUAAUAUUGCAUACUGUUAUGAUGCAAAUGAGAACGCGAUAGGAGAGCUGUACCUUAACGCAGAAACCUCUGAUUACAUCCGUAAUUGCACUGGUAGGAUGACUUUCCCAUUCGUUUGAGCUUCUUUAUUUAUUUGUAUAACUUUGGUCCUCAUGCUUUACUCCAUUAUUGUAAGUGGCACAUGUGCCCUGCUGUACAUUGCAUUUUACUUUUUUUUAUUCAGUAAUUUAUCCAUUCAACGUUCGUAAGUAGUCGUUUAAGAGUAUUGACCUGAUCAUCAUUAUAUCCUUCAUUUCUUUAGUGACUAAAGUAUAGCUUGUGUGGUCCUCCACCGCAAACAUUUCAGGUUAUAAUGUUGCUACGCUAUUUUACUUUUUGAUCAUUAUAUUUUCUGUAAGUACAGUAUAUAGUUAAACACCUAUUGUAUUAUUCAUGCUACACUUAUCAUAUCUUUUCUCUGAACAUUUAAUUUAAAUGUUAACUCUGUAAAAUUGUAUGCUGUAAAUCAAAAGUGAUGAUUCAGAAAUAUGUUAAUAAUAAUAAUGUUUCAUUCUAUUUUUUUCUAUAAAAGGACGUGUACAUUGCACCAAUCAUUUCAGCGACCUCGUUCUCACACAGAGGCAGAGAAAAACAUUGUCAUUAUGAAUUGCCCAGUCAACCUAAUAUGUAGAGGGCAGAAAACAGUAGCAGCUUGUGAGGAGUGUGAAAGAAAAAGUGAAUGUACGGCAAAGAGUCAAAUGUAAAAGGUACCACUAAGUUUUAAGUGCUGUCACACUUCAAGCACUGCUUUUAAUUACAUCCUCAAGCAGCCUAUGCAUUCUGAUCAGGACCAAUACAAAGACUGAAAGACCACUUUCGUGUUCCUAUCUAAAGUGGAUUUGUUUCAGUCUGCAGUUGACUAGCUCAGUCAGUUUUUUUGAAGCCCUCACAAUGUAAGAUAAUUUAUUCAUGGAAGGUGUUUCUUAAUUAACUUUUGAUCCAAGUCAUCUAAUUUCCUAUUCCAUUUUACACAUUCUCAAUUAUGAAUCCAUGUAUACUGUACUCUUAUUAAGGGGGAUCAUAAAGUGAGACGUUCUUCAUAAAGCACUGGUAGGUACAGUGGUGCACUGUUAAACUGCACGAAGAUCCAAACAUUUUAGACUUGUCACUGACAAAAGAUACUCUUCACAGCAUUGUUUUGCAAUGAUACUUUUUACGUCAACCUACCUCCAUCACAUUGAAAGGUUCCCCUGCUUCUUUGAUGUAUCUGAUUCUAUAUUGCCCUGCUUCAGGUCCACUUCUCCUAGAUAUCUCCUCUUAAUGGAAGUUUUGUGUACAUUCUGUGCAGCCCGCCUGUAGCACUGUGCACAGCUCUCCGGGCUUGUCAUUAGGAAGAGAGGGGUUGAGGAUGCCCUGUGUUUGGCUAUAGCUGCAGCACCAGACACGCAGCCAGACAGAAAUAGCAAAUUAAUUCAGCUGGAUUGGCCUAUGAUUGCAGUCAGCGAUUUAGGUUAAAUGUCCUUUGGUGGAUAGCAGCAUUUCAUCCAGAUAUUGGUCACAUGAUCACA
ensembl:lncRNA